rnacentral:lncRNA from 1 species
UGGCUGCCGCGACCGACCUUUCGGGGGUACCGAGCUCCUUCACUUCUGUCCCAAAGGUCCGAAAUCUCUAAUUUUAUAUUUUUUCUUUAUGGUGACUUUUCUUUGUUCUCUUGUACUUAAAAACUAUUUAAUCAAUGAAAUCAGAUUCUUCUUUACAGAGAGCUUCUUUUUUUUUCUGCAUUCUUUUCCUUCUCUUUUAUCUUCUUGCACUAAUUUGAGUUGUGGCGCUCUUGUCUCCCAAUGACAGUGCCCUACCGAAGCUCUUCUCCUACCACAGGGGAUUCCUCUGAAGUCGAUGAUCUG